rnacentral:rRNA from 1 species
AUUGAACGCUGGCGGCAGGCUUAACACAUGCAAGUCGAGCGAGGGGGGGACGGGUGAGUAGUCUCUGAGACACUCCCUGGUGGAGGGGUAAAACUACGAGAAACGGGAGCUAAUCCCGCAUACCAACGGAUGUCCCCAGAUGGGAUUAGCUAGUAGGUGGGGUAAACGCUCACCUAGGCGACGAUCCCUAGCUGGUCUGAGAGGAUGACCAGCCACACUGGAACUGAGACACGGUCCAGACUCCUACGGGAGGCAGCAGUGGGGAAUAUUGCACAAUGGGCGCAAGCCUGAUGCAGCCAUGCCGCGUGUAUGAAGAAGGCCUUCGGGUUGUAAAGUACUUUCAGCGGGGAGGCGUUACCCGCAGAAGAAGCACCGGCUAACUCCGUGCCAGCAGCCGCGGUAAUUC